CCCGAGGCCGCCCCCAGGUGUGUCCCAGGUGUGUCCCCUGUCCCCAGGUGUGUCCCAGGUGUGUGUUUAUCCCCCCAGGUGUGUCCCUCACCUGCCCCACGAUGUCAGACACGUGUGACACGGUGGUCCCUGAGGCCGCCCCCAGGUGUGUCCCAGGUGUGUCCCAGGUGUGUCACCUGUCCCCAGGUGUGUCCCCAGGUGUGUCCCAGGUGUGUGUUACCUGUCCCAGGUGUGUCCCAGGUGUGUCCCCUGUCCCCAGGUGUGUCUCACCUGCCCCACGAUGUCAGACACGUGUGACACGGUGGUCCCCGAGGCCGCCCCCAGGUGUGUCCCAGGUGUGUCCCC